AACGAACGUUGGCGGCGUGGAUUAGGCAUGCAAGUCGCACGAGAAAGGUUUCUUCGGAGACCGAGUAAAGUGGCGGACGGGUGAGUAAUGCAUAGAUAACUUGCCCCUGAGAUGGGAAUAACGCUUCGAAAGGAGUGCUAAUACCCAAUGCCGUCUCGGGUCCAAAGGCUCGAGAUGAAAGGAGGCCUCUGACUCAAGCUUCCGCUCAGGGANAGGUUUAUGUCCUAUUAGCUAGUUGGUGAGGUAAUGGCUCACCAAGGCUUCGAUGGGUAGCCGACCUGAGAGGGUGACCGGCCACACUGGGACUGAGACACUGCCCAGACUCCUACGGGAGGCUGCAGUCGAGAAUCUUCCGCAAUGCGCGCAAGCGUGACGGAGCGACG
rnacentral:rRNA from 1 species